GGGAAGGAAUCAAUUACAGCUUAGAUGCUUCUCGAAGAUCCUUCAACGAACUCUGAAUCAUUCUUCAACCGUCGACCGCUUCGUACUUCUCCGAUCACGUUUCUGGGCUGAUCAUCCUUCUGGGCUGCCUUCCAAUUUGGGCCAUGGAGCUCACGUCUGGUUCUGCUCUUCUUCUUCUCACUNUGCUUGAUGAACCCUAGCUCGAGUGAGAGAGUUGGGAGCAAGCCCCAAAUUGAUUUUAGCCUCUCUGCGCAAAAUGAACGUGAGAAAGAAAACCCCUUAACUUUGCCUCUUUGCAGCAGCAUGAAACACUGUGUUUCAUUAAUCAUAAAAAGCUUCAGCUGAACUUCAAAAUUUUGGGCUUGUACGCCCCUGUUGUCAGCCCAUUGCAAGCAUCAAAAUUCUUUUCCUAGUCAACGCAACACCUUCAGCAUAAUCUUUCCCGAACAGCAACGUUUUGAGUAAGUGAAUUCAACCCUCAAUGUCUGACCAAUUGGUCCUUUGACCAGGGCACUUCAUUAGCAUAGGCCCAAACCAACUCCAACCCUUUUUUUUCCUCUUGUUGACCCAUUU
rnacentral:lncRNA from 1 species